GAUGAACGCUGGCGGCGUGCCUAAUACAUGCAAGUCGAGCGAACAGACGAGGAGCUUGCUCCUCUGACGUUAGCGGCGGACGGGUGAGUAACACGUGAAUAACCUACCUAUAAGACUGGGAUAACUUCGGGAAACCGGAGCUAAUACCGGAUAAUAUAUUGAACCGCAUGGUUCAAUAGUGAAAGACGGUUUUGCUGUCACUUAUAGAUGGAUCCGCGCCGCAUUAGCUAGUUGGUAAGGUAACGGCUUACCAAGGCAACGAUGCGUAGCCGACCUGAGAGGGUGAUCGGGCACACUGGAACUGAGACACGGUCCAGACUCCUACGGGAGGCAGCAGUAGGGAAUCUUCCGCAAUGGGCGAAAGCCUGACGGGGCAACGCCGCGUGAGUGAUGAAGGUCUUCGGAUCGUAAAACUCUGUUAUUAGGGAAGAACAAAUGUGUAAGUAACUAUGCACGUCUUGACGGUACCUAAUCAGAAAGCCACGGCUAACUACGUG
rnacentral:rRNA from 1 species